CUGGCUCGCGCCCCCACGGAGCAGCUCAGGUCUGGCACGGCAAACAGGGAAGAAGCAGCCGAGUUCUUCCUGCGCGCUCCUCUGCCGGCACCCUGCGUCUCCUAUGGCGUGCGCCCGCCGAGGUCCUUCCCAUGGCGCUCUGCUCCAGCUCCCGCGCUCGGCCUUAGCCUGGUAGAUCUCCCUGGUGCUUGCCCCUCGAUGCCAUACUCGGUCGCCAUGGCUGACUCAUCGGAUCUCGCACGUCCCUGCGUCCUCUCCAUCUCCCUAUGCUCUGCGCGCGUGCCCAGCCGAGUCCCUCUCCAUCCCCAUGGCGUCCAACUCGGCCUGCGUGCCGCGGCGCUUGCCCAUGGUGGCGUGUCUCUCUCCCAGCCGUUGAAUCCCGCCCGUCCGCGCUCUGUCCAGUCCCUAGCUCGGUUUUCCUCAGCCGCGGACACCGUCGAGCUCGGGUCCUAUUCGUCGUCCGUCCACGCGUCAUACGUGGAGCAACGUAGGAAAAUCUGCAGCCUAAGCCUUGGUCAAUGUCUAUGUGGAUUUGGGAAAGGAGACUAUGAAGUCGGCUUGUGUUGCAUGUCUGGUGCUUGGUGA
rnacentral:misc_RNA from 1 species